AACGUAGGAGGCAAGCGUUAUCCGGAGUUACUGGGCGUAAAGAGUGCGUAGGCGGAUUGAUAAGUGGGUGGUGAAAGCGCCCGGCUAAACCGGGCGAGGUCCACUCAGACUGUCAGUCUAGAGGCGGAUAGAGGGGUGCGGAAUUCCGGGUGUAGCGGUGAAAUGUGUAGAGAUCCGGAGGAACACCAGUGGUGCAAACGGCGCCCUGGGUCCGAACUGACGCUGAAGCACGAAAGCGUGGGGAGCGAACGGG
rnacentral:rRNA from 1 species